AUACGUAGGUGGCAAGCGUUAUCCGGAAUUAUUGGGCGUAAAGAGUGAGCAGGCGGUUAAUUAAGUCUGAGGUUAAAGCGUGGGGCUCAACCCCAUAAAGCCUUGGAAACUGAUUGACUCGAGGACGGGAGAAGGGAAGGGAACUCCAUGUGUAGCGGUGAAAUGCGUAGAUAUAUGGAAGAACACCAGUGGCGAAGGCGCUUCACUAGCCCGAAACUGACGCUCAGUCACGAAAGCGUGGGUAGCAAAUAGGAUUAGAUACCCUAGUAGUCCACGCUGUAAACGAUGACAACUAAAUAUUGCCGCGAGGCAGUGUUGAAGCUAACGCAUUAAGUUGUCCGCCUGGGGAGUACGGUCGCAAGACUGAAACUUAAAGGAAUUGACGGGG
rnacentral:rRNA from 1 species